GCAAGUAAAACAUUUGGAGGAUAGGAUCAGUAUAAUUGAUUGGAUUACUGAUUAUCUUUUGACCAUUUUCUUGCAGCGAUUUAACUGGUAAUAAUCUUGGUGGCACAGUUUGUGUGUGUAUAGGUGUCCAGAAUAAACGUUGUAUUCUGUGUAUAGGUGUCUAUUUUCGUCCAACCAGGUCUCUAUAGGAUGAUUAUCUAGAUUGUUUUGGCGAUCUGGAAACCAUAGGAAAGGUGGGAACAUACAUUGAAGAUUUCCUUUAAACUCCAGAUUGCCUUCCAACAAUCUUACUUUCUCUUCAAGAUCAUUGUUCAAAUAGUGAAGCUUUUCCACAUUUUUGGCAAGUUUUUUUCUUUCCAAGUUUGCAUCAGAAAGUGAACUCUUUAGAAGUGUGUUUUUCUCUAACUGUCCCUCUAAGUUUUCAAUUGCCAUUUGCAAUCUAGUUUAGCAUGGUAUAGUUACUAAACUAGAUUAUUAAGCCAAUGAC